rfam:Desulfobacterium vacuolatum DSM 3385 genome assembly, contig: Ga0002809_155
GAUAGUUCCUAAAUCAAUAGUAUUUCAUAGUAUUGACAUGGAACUAACAGGAGGCAUCAUUUAAUGAUGAAGCAGAAGUUAAUCAGGUUAUCUUACCCUGGAAUGUUACUCCAGUUCCAGGCUCUAAGGUUUAUCUUUAAGGGUAGCGGAAACGUGAAUGUGAGAUAAACGUGACAAGCCUUUUUAACAACUCCAAGGAGUACCUUAC